GGAGGUUCUUCUGAGGCUGCUGCCAGUGGUCAAAGCCUCCAGCAAAGCUCUACUGAGCAGCUGUUCCCUCUCAGAUGAAGGAUGUUCAGCUCUGUCCUCAGCUCUCAGCUCUCCGUCCUCCAGACUGAAGGACCUGAGCCUGAGAAUCCAGGACUCAGGACUGAAGGAGCUGUGUGAUGGACUGGAAAACUGGAAACUGGAAACUCUCAGGUCAGGUUUCUCUGCUGCUCUCACAUGUUUUUCCUCUGUUUCAGCUUCAAACAUCUCUGUGAUGGAAUAAUCUGCAAUGUUUUCUAAACUACUUUGAAAUAUUGUGAAUGAAAUAUGUCCAGAGUAACGCAUCUUUUAAAAUGAAGGAACAUGUGUUUUAUUUAGGACUUAAAGGUAUAAAUGAGCCUCUGGUUAAAUAAAGAUGCUCUACUUUGUCUCUCAGCUUUGGUUGAAACGUUGCUCGUCCUGCUUGUUUAUCACGUUGUUUCCAUCCAGUGGUUCAGUCACAUAGUAAACAGAAUCACCCCCAAUGCUUUUUCCUGCCUAAAUUCCUUUACCCUGAUGGAAAACAUCAUGGAGUUUAGGAAAGGUGGUGGGAUAAAUUCAGAGGAUCCAAGAAAAGAUGACAGCGUUGCAUUGAGAAUCCGACCACAAUGAGCCUCACCUGUGGUUUUAUUCUGCAGCUCUGAAACUACAGAUGUUCAAUAAAUAUUCUACAGAAAGGGAUUCAGAUAUUUCAUCUAAUGCAGUCUGAUCACACUGACAUGGAAACUAUAUGUCAUGUGAACGUGUUCAGAUAUAAAAUAUGACUUUAUAAUCAAGCUUGGUGAUUAAAGGGAAGGAAAAGUAAAACAUGUUGUCACAACUGCUCACACACACCCACUGUCCUCAUAUAUGUCCACACAUUUACCAGUUAGUACAACUGGAUAAACACCAGCAUUGCUUCCAAGGCUGCAGCCAGAAUGAAGUGUGUUAUGGAAUUAUCUCCUUUCAUAAAGGAAGCUACGCUGUUCCUCAAAGAGGUCAUAAAGAAAGCAUUGGAGCAGCUUUCAUUAGCAUCUGAUGGUUUCAGACAGCUCUUACCGUGGCUGCUGCUCACACACUUCCAGGUUCUUCACUCUGUAAGGAGGUUCUGGAGCAGACUGGACACUUAGACCAGACCAGGGAUGGUGUAUCCAUACUCUGGAGUCCAUACUUUGAUUUCAGCCAGUCAGAUAUCAGAUCUGAUACUGUGUGAAUAUGGAGAUACCGCUCUGCUGAGACAAAAAAGCCAUUUGUUUUCACUUUUGAGAGUUUUAGACACUAAAAUUGUGUGUGAAGUCCAGCAACAGUUAUUCCUUCUGUGUCACAUGAUCAUGGCAGCUGAUCGUGGCUUCAGAUGUCACGAUGUCAUGAUGAUGCUGCUUCUGUAAGUGAUGAUGAGGUUUAGAUAUUUUACUGGUUUAAUGCAGGUUAUUACACAUUAUAUUUUAUUAUAUUUAACAUAUUACUAUUACUUAUAGUUUAUUAACUUCCCAUUUAAUUAGAAUAAUCUUAUUAAUCUGUAGUUUAACUAUUUUUAUCAUUAUUUUAAAAAGAUUUUAUAUAUUUAAAUGUAAAUCAUUAUAAUUUAUUAUGGCUUUUAAACCCUCUUAAGUAUUUACAUUCUUGAAUUUAAUCUAACAACAACAAAAAAUUACUUUAUUUCUUGCCGCCUUUCUACACCCAAUGUCACCAUACACAAAAUAAAUAAAUAACUAAAUAAAAAUAAAUUACAUUAGAGUUAAAAACAGAUUAAAAGACAUUGGUCUUACAAUAAAGAUUUUAAUACACUGUGCAAUAAUUAUUCUCCUUUAUGGCCAAGAAGUAUCAACAUCGAUAUCAGUAUAUAUAAAAAAUUAAACUAAUGGUACCGUAUUGAUGGGGACUAGACAGACUAGACCCCAGAUGUUGUAAAGUCUCUGGUUCCUUCUCUCAGUGUAGACCGGCGACGUUUGUGACAUGAGUUCUCUCACCUGCACCAACGUUAGAGUUGAUUGUGAUUUAUAAACGGAAACAGACGUGGGACGUGCGUCCGCAUGCUUUUAUAAAUCUGGAAGUUUUGUGCUGCAUUUCCUUGUUUCUGUCACGUUUCAGCAGACUGGACCCAGUGAACGUCAGCAACCCAAGGAUUGGUGUAAAGAUAGUUUAUUUGAACAAUGUACUGGACUGGAAGGCGGUGUCAGGAUCCUUUCAGGUAGCUCGUCAGAAGGCAUGAAGGAGUCCCACACAGCAGAUAUUUCUGGAUGAGAUGACAGGGGCAGCCAGAAGGAUUUCCACCGCGACUCUGUUGAGCAGCUGAAUUAAAGAUGGUUAGAAUGGGGCUAGUAGUGGGUUAAUAUGCUCCAGACUAAUCCUUCCGAUGGGAGUCCAGAGGGGUCCUUCCAGUAAUAAAGGUUAAGUCCGUAAUCCAAAAUCCUAGUCCUAGAGACAAUCCAAAAAGGUCAGAGUUCCAGAAUAAUCCAAACGACAGAACAGAGUUACCUAGUGAUGGGACGAACGACACUGGUGCGUCAGCACUGUGCCGAGUGCACAAGUGGGAAACCCCGUAUUGGUGCGUGUAUCGCUUUAACAAAAAAUCACGUGACCGAUACAGGAAGUGUAUCGUUUGGAUGUGCCGCGCCAAAUUGUGUUUAUAAAGAAACAAACUGUAUCAACAUGUCGUGGGUUUGUUGGAUGGAGAUUGCGGUGUUGCGGUGCCUGUUGGAUUGUUUGAUUUGCUUUGCUUUGCUUCCACUCAUGGAUCGUUCAAGAAAAAUGUCUCAAGUCUGGAAUCAUUUUGAUCUUUUGACGCCAAAUAAGGUAAAUCUUUUCCUCCUUUGGGCAUUGUUUACUGGUAGUUUUUAAUUCAAUGUUUCUACUCUUUACUAGUAAGAGGUUUGAUUUGUUUUCUGGUAAAUUAACUUUUUGUUUUAUUGCAGGUGAAGUGUCGGCACAGAAUUGUCAUACAUCAACAAGAGCACGUCAUCAAUGCUGAGGCAUUAUAGAGCUCGGCAUGGCAAUGAAGAGUUGGCAGACACUCCUGCUGUGAGUACCCCAGUUCCUAACAAGCAAGCAUUGGAUGAGGCUGUGAUCAACAUGAUCAUCAAAGACUGUCAGCCACUCACCCUCGUAGAAAAUGAGGGAUUCAGGGAGCUCAUGCAGCUUGUUGCACCCUCAUAUGUUCUACCAAGCAGGAAGACCGUCAAGGACUUUGUGGACCAGAAAUAUGAGGAGGAAAAGGAGAAAACAAAAAAGGACCUCCAGAGCGCCGUUGCUGUUACUUUAACAGCUGACAUGUGGCCCUCGAUUAAUAUGGAGCCAUAUCUUGCUGUUACUUGCCACUAUGUGGACAAAGACAGCCAUGAAUUCCGUACAUCAGUCUUAGGAGUGCAGCAUUUUCCACAGAAACACACUGCAGAAAACAUGGCCAUGGUUAAAAGGACCUUUAUGGAGGAGUGGGGCAUAGCGAGCAAGGUCAGGUGUCUUGUCACUGAUGCAGCACCAAACAUGAUUUCAUGUGCUCGAAUACUACAAAUACGGCAAACUAUUUGUAUUGCCCAUACCAUCAAUUUAACUGUGAAAAAAUCAUGUGAUCAAAUUACAACACUAACAGAAAUACGCAACAAAACACGGCAAAUUGUCACAUACUUUCGAACAAGCACCACGGCCAAAGAAAAGCUCACUCAAAUUCAGCGACAGCUGGGAACACCAAUCCAUAAAUUAAUAAAUGAGGUGCCAACACGAUGGAACAGCACCUACCACAUGCUGGAAAGAAUGACUGAGCAGAAGGAGGCAGUCUGGGUGUCACAGGCCACAUUAAAAAAUGAUAUUACUCCACUGACUCCUGAAGAAUUUGAAGUCAUUGAAGAGAUGCUCAGGGUGCUCUCUCCUUUUGACCAAGCCACAAGAGAACUCUGAGGAAAAAAGAGUCUCGGGGUCAAAGGUUAUUCCACUGAUGAGAAUGAUCUACAUUGAGCUUCAACGUCAAGCCUCAGCAUUAACAAAACCAGCUGCUCAAGAACUGGGUGCAAAUCUGAAAAGGCGGCUAACUGAGUCCAUCUGCAACAUGGAAUCACUCAGUGUGAUGACACUGGCAACACUGUGGGACCCCAGGUUUAAAACAGUUGGCUUCUUUAGUCCACAAAGAGCAACGGAAGCUGUUAAGAGGCUGAAGUCGGAGUGUGCUGCUGAAAUGAGGAGCCAUGAGCCUGACCCAGCAGAAGAACCGAGCUCUUCACAUGGAUCAGAACCCAGUUCAGGACACAAUCUCUGGAAACCUCUGGAUAUGGAAGUUGAGGAGAGCCGGGGGACAUCGAAUACAACAGCAGAUUCCAUAGUUGAAGUCCAACGCUACUUGGCCGAAAGCAACACACCCAGAACACAAGACCCGUUGCAGUAUUGGAAAAAUAACCAGAAAACAUAUCCACACCUUUAUCAACUGGCGCUUAAAUAUUUAUGCACACCGUCUUCAUCUGUUCCCUGUGAACGAGUAUUUUCUAAGGCAGGGGAACUGGUGUCCAAGAGGAGAAACCGCCUUGGAGCAAAGACACUUCAGAAACUUUUGAUUCUCAAUAAAAAUGUAUGAAUGAAUCCAUUUUUAGUGUGUUAUUUCAUAUGAUUGAACACUUUGGUUAACAAGGAUGGGGUCAUUUAAUUAAAAGACUAGCAAUUGAAUGAAGAUGAAAUAUUAUUUCACAGGCUAACGUUGGGUUGACAGCAUGCAAGAUUUUCCAUCUUUUCAUUUUGUUAACCUGCAAUGAUUUUAAAUCUACAGCAGAGGUCACUAUUGAGUGACCAACACAGUGUCAAUACAGUGUCAACACAGUUUGUGUAAUGUGUCAAUACACUCCUUAAGGCAUCGUCAACCCAUCCCCAGACUCUACCUUUAACA